rnacentral:snRNA from 1 species
AAGAAAUAGUUAAUGAUA